rnacentral:lncRNA from 1 species
CAGGAACAAACUCAAAAUACGUCCUGGUUCUUGGCUUACGUAUAAUAUAUAGAUGGAACCAUUGCAUAUGAAGUUCUCAGACUCCCACAGAUCUGAGUUGAACUUUGAAACUUUAAAAUACUAGAAAGAAGACGCUAUGGGCGAGAACAUUCCUAUAAUUCAGGAAAAUGUAAUUCCUUUGAAUAGCAUCGCACUUGCUUGCUUUCAUCCUCAGUUAUCCUGACAUCCUUGGUAGGCAGGAUGUGACUAAUGCAAUGCACGGAAUCACACUUCUUAAUGGCAUUUUCGGACUGGCAGCGGCAGUACCAGCUCUCAGGUGCAAUUGGAAUGGAAAUUCUGCUAAUUGGGUCUUGAAGCUAACACCUCUCUUGGAUAAAGCGAGAUCUUCGAAAACUAUGAGAAAUAAAAUUAUCCGCUUCUACCUGUAUCAAUGAAUCAGUAAGUAUUUUAAUCUCUUCCAAUCUGUUCCUUCUAAUUUCCUGGGUGUCUGACAGAUGCUUCAAUAUCUCCCUCUAGCCACAUCUUCAAAUUUAGUGAUAAACAUAGCCAUACCCUCUUCAAAAUUUUGUCUGAAUUAAUCCUCAAGCCUGAAGAGGUCAGCCUUGAAUUAACACAUGUAUAUGCAAGCCCUAUAGAAGUUUUCCAGUGUCUGUCAGGUUCUCUGAAUCUCCUGUCAUCCUAAGCAUUUCUAUUUCCUAUAGUCAUAGUCAUAUGACAGGAUUACUAUUGCCUUUCCUCUUCUCACUGCUAGAUCUCUUCUCAAUGUGCAAUAGUUUGUGGAUGUUCUUCUUAAAGUAAAACCCUCAGAUUUGUACUGCUACUUUUGGUAUGCUUAAUAUAACCCUAUUCUUUCCAAAGUGUGGUCGGUCUGUAGACCGUUGGGGACCCCAAGACCCUUUCAAGGGAUUAGUAAGAUCAACACUAUUUUUAUAAUAAUUCUAGAAAUCAUCUGCAUUUUUUAGUUUGUGGACAUUUACACUGAUGGUGCAAAAGUAAUGGUGAAUAAAGCUGCUAGUACCUUAGCAUGAAACAGGUAGUGGCAUCAAACUUUGUAUAAGUACCGUAAGUAAGUACCAUCAGUCUUUGUAUUCUUUACCCCAUGCACUCACAGGGAAAUAAAAAGCAAAUUUCAUUUAAGAAAAUCUUUGAUAAAGCAGUAAAAAUGAUUAAUUUCAUUGUGUCAACCCUUGAGAACACGUCUUUCUAAUAUUUUCUGUGAAGAAAUGAAAAGUACACAGCUUGCUGUACAAGAAACUACAUGGUUGACUGGAAGAAGAGCUUUCACAUGACUGAGUUCUGAGCUGAGCUGGCCACUUUUAUCAUGGGAUAUCAUUUUUACUUCAAAGAACAACUGACAAACUACUAUUAAUCAGACUUGGGUAUUUGGAAGACAUUUCAUUUUUUUGAAAUAUGAGUGAAGUGAACUUGUGGCUACAGUGAAAGCAACUGACAGUAUUUGCUGCUACUGGAAAUAUCUGAGCUUUCAAGAGAAAAUUAGAAUUUUGGAAAACUUUAUUUGCCACCAUGACCGUGACAGCUUCUCAAUAUUUGAAGACUCUUUGGAUGAGACUGGUGGUGAUUUUAAUGAUUGUGAGUUUUUUUAAUGAAAUAUAUCAACAUUCGGAAAAUCUGCCUAACUUAGUAAUCAAUACAAAUGAUACAGGACAUUAAAAUGCAUGAAUGGUUGUAAAAGAUGCAUUUAAAGUAUAAGAUAAAGAGAUUUUAAGUAACAGAGUACAAAAAGCUCAUUCCUAUUGUUUUAGAUCCACCAUUACAACUUAAGUUUAAAAAAACUAUUAUUUGUCAAGUUUUGACAUAGUAUCACAGAAGACUAUCUAAAAAGACUAUUAAAAUACUUCUCUAUUUCCCAAUUAUGUAUCUGUUUGAAGCCAGAUUUUCUUUAUAUACUUCAAUCAAAACAAUAGAAUGAUGAAGCAGCUAUGAGAAUCCAACUGUCUUAUAUUAAGCCAGAUAGUGGAGAUUUGCAAAAAUGGAAAACAAUGCCACAUUUCACAAAAAUGGUGACAAGUCCUUGCGUUUAUUAUUAUUUUAAAUUAAUUAAUAAAUAUUCUAAAACUUUUUUGGUCAGCUUUUAUUUCUAAUAUGGUCUAUUGAUAGAUAUAACCCAUAUAAACACGUUUUUUGAAGUCCUCAACAAUUUUUAAGAGCGUAUAGAGGGACUUCACACCAAAAAGUUUGAGAACCAUUUACACAGAGAAGUAUGAAGGUACUGAAUCCUUCUUCUGGAAACUUGGUCUCUCAGACAGGUGAACACUUGUUCUGUGUUGUGGGAAGGAGGUUAGCAAGAGCAUGCUGCAGACUCACGUUGACUCAGGUCAAGCUCCUACCUCUGAAGUUCUUCGCUAUGUUGUCUUGGAUAGUUGAAACCAUAACAAGCGUAGGUUGGAGAAGUAUGUCUUAGGAUGUCAAAACCUGAAACAUCUGUCAUCUUCUGAUCCAAACAGCUUAUGUUUAAAAUAGAAAGGUAAAAUUGAAAUUGACAAUCGUAUGUUAUUCAAUUGGUUGAAACAAGCUAUAGCUUGUUGGUGAAACUGAAUCUCCCGUCUCCAAAUAUGAUGCUUAUUAAUCAAUACUAGAUGGCUAGUAGCCGUAAUUCAGGCCUGGAAUCCAGAAAGGAAUUUUGGUUAAACGUAAAGGUUUGGGGUGUAUUCAUGGGCACAUAGAAUAAUUCAAUCUAUGAGAGACAGUGAGGGGACAGUAGGAAGCUGAAGUAGGUCAAACAAAUGAGCCCAGGAUGAAACUCCAGUUAAUGCCUAUCAAGAAUAAUAUAACAAAUAGAAAACCAGGAGAAGGGUACUAAUGUUUUUGAAUAGCGACAAUGGUUAAAUUAGGAAACGCUAAGUUACAUUAGGAAGCUCUACCUAAGAGUAGAGCUUAGGCACUCUACUAAUCUCCUAACAUAGUUUCACACGUUCUAUCAUCAUAACAACUUUGUAAAGCAGGUAUUUUCUCCAUUUAUCAACUAGGAAAUAAAGGUCUAGAGAGGUAAAAUAUGCUUCCAGGAACACACAAACAAUCCCUCAUCAAAGGUGGGAUUUGAAUUUAUUCAAUCUCUUAUUCUGGAUGCCCUGCCUAAGAAAAUCUGAUUGAUACAGUAUUCUGCUUCACCCCUGAAUUUAAAUGUAAACUUUCACCUCUAGCCUCUUUCCCAUUCUCUUGGGGGAUGGGGGAGAAACUGACAGAAAUGCACGGAUAUGUAAUUAGCUUUUACAUUCAUCCGCAGUGAGGAAAUAUUUUGCUUUUGCUUUAUGGGCCAUGAAUUACAAGUUCAAGGGAACAAACAACAAAUGUGUUUUUGAUUAAUAAAGAAACACAGUUUUACUAAAUGUUUUCACUGCUUGAACCAUUAGCACAGGAACAGUUAAGCACUACUAAGCAAUAAUCAGCAAGCCUGCAUUACAUAUAAUAUUCAUGGAAGUUUAGAGUGGAUGUUAAGUGCCCCUGUGGGGUCCCACAGCCAGACACUUGACACUCCAUGAUGUCCACCCUCCCCCUAAAUCAGUUUAAUCCACAUUAUAUGUAAGAGUACAUCAGUUAGACAAUAUAUUUUAAAUUACAGGUUAGCAUUUAAAAACUACCGUACAACUAAAAAUCAAGAAGCAGGAGUCUGAUUAAGUGGAUGAAAUUGUGCUCUGAAACUUAAGCCAGUUUCUCAAGAGUUGAACCACCUAAGGCAGGGUUCAAACAAAGGCUGAAGCCCUGAAGGUUUGUAGGGGAGAAUUAGUAAGUGGGUUUCCCCGAGCAGUGUGAAGUCAUCAGGCAAGGUAAUGCUUCCCAGAGGUGUAACCGCUGUGGGGGGGUCGGGGGGCGGAAACGCGUAGUACUUUGCAGGUCGGCCCCCGGGGACCGGGCUGGCUGACUACCUAGUAUUGCAAUAAAAUUCUUGCCCUCAAAUCACAUCCCCCAACACUACACCCUGCGCGACGUGUUGAAAAGCAUCGCUCCCAGUUUACUCGACUUUUCUGUUUUGACCUGUUCAUUAUUGUCCCAGAUAUGUAAUAAGGAGCAGGAACCCAGUUUUCAAGGCCUAUCGAGCGCGAAAGAAGUCCAACCUCAGAGGAACCCUGGAAGAAAAAAAGAAAGAAAAGAAAAGAAAUCUCUUUACCCUAUAAUAAUUUCAGCGGAAUCUCCCCAAACCAAAUUAAUUUAUAAACUCUCUCAUUUUUUCCUAAACAGUGCCACCUACUGUCCAUUUUAAGUCACCAGGAGGCUUGUUGGCGAGGACCAGAGAGAAAUAAAUGGAAAAAAAGAAAGUAACCAAGAAAACUCUUCCCAGCCUUGGGGCUUUGGAAGAAAGAUGAGAAAGGGCCAUCUCGAAGCAAAAAUAAGCAUUUAGACUCGUUAUCUUCUUAAAAGGCUCUCAAGAAAGCAAAAGUCAUGUAAGCCAUUCCCUUAGAAAUGGCUCUUUUAAGCGCGCUACUUUCGAGUCCUCCAGAGGACGAUUUUUAUUUUAUUAUAUUUUAUUUAUAAUGCGUGGCGUUUGCUUAUUUCUACGGUAGGGGACUAGGUUUAAAAACAGCACAAUAUUUUUCUACUUUUUCCGCCCACCCAAUGUGGAAACUUCUGUGUAAGGGGGACUUUGGCACUUGACAUCAGCUCAGAAACUUCUGAGUUGGCGGGAAGUAAGGG